GCUUCCUUAGCUCAGUCGGUAGAGCGCGAGUCUCAUACUCGUGAGAGACGUUGGUCUUAUAAUCUCGAGGUCGCAAGUUCGAGCCUUGCAGGGAGCA
rfam:Gymnopus luxurians FD-317 M1 unplaced genomic scaffold GYMLTscaffold_4, whole genome shotgun sequence.